CGGCGACCUCUUCAGUACAUGUGGGGUCGUCAUUCGCCGAGCUCCUUUUCGGUUUUUAUGCCGUUCGAAGAUACCCACUUGUCAGGUUUGCUUGGGGCCCUUCGGGCCCAAGAUUCCUCCUAGGGCUUGAACCCGGGGAUUCGAGCUCCCGUUGCCUUCGGGCACUAGUUGCUUUUCUUUUUUGCUUGGAUUUUUCUCCGCUGAAGUCGGGGCUAAGUUCGGCUCCCUUGAUAGUCCGAACGGAGAAGCCCUCCUGAAGUUGGAGUAGCCCGGCUCUCGUAAGAGUCAGGGCAAAGUUUUUCUGCAAUCAAAGUCAUAGGCAAAGUCCGGCUUCCGUAGA
rnacentral:lncRNA from 1 species